rnacentral:rRNA from 1 species
GAGGAAUAUUGGUCAAUGGACGAGAGUCUGAACCAGCCAAGUAGCGUGAAGGAUGACUGCCCUAUGGGUUGUAAACUUCUUUUAUACGGGAAUAAAGUUAGCCACGUGUGGCUUUUUGUAUGUACCGUAUGAAUAAGGAUCGGCUAACUCCGUGCCAGCAGCCGCGGUAAUACGGAGGAUCCGAGCGUUAUCCGGAUUUAUUGGGUUUAAAGGGAGCGUAGGCGGGUUGUUAAGUCAGUUGUGAAAGUUUGCGGCUCAACCGUAAAAUUGCAGUUGAUACUGGCGACCUUGAGUGCAACAGAGGUAGGCGGAAUUCGUGGUGUAGCGGUGAAAUGCUUAGAUAUCACGAAGAACUCCGAUUGCGAAGGCAGCUUACUGGAUUGUAACUGACGCUGAUGCUCGAAAGUGUGGGUAUCAAACAGGAUUAGAUACCCUGGUAGUCCACACGGUAAACGAUGAAUACUCGCUGUUUGCGAUAUACAGCAAGCGGCCAAGCGAAAGCGUUAAGUAUUCCACCUGGGGAGUACGCCGGCAACGGUGAAACUCAAAGGAAUUGACGGGGGCCCGCACAAGCGGAGGAACAUGUGGUUUAAUUCGAUGAUACGCGAGGAACCUUACCCGGGCUUAAAUUGCAGAUGAAUUACGGUGAAAGCCGUAAGCCGCAAGGCAUCUGUGAAGGUGCUGCAUGGUUGUCGUCAGCUCGUGCCGUGAGGUGUCGGCUUAAGUGCCAUAACGAGCGCAACCCUUGUUGUCAGUUACUAACAGGUUCCGCUGAGGACUCUGACAAGACUGCCAUCGUAAGAUGUGAGGAAGGUGGGGAUGACGUCAAAUCAGCACGGCCCUUACGUCCGGGGCUACACACGUGUUACAAUGGGGGGUACAGAGGGCCGCUACCACGCGAGUGGAUGCCAAUCCCAAAAACCUCUCUCAGUUCGGACUGGAGUCUGCAACCCGACUCCACGAAGCUGGAUUCGCUAGUAAUCGCGCAUCAGCCACGGCGCGGUGAAUACGUUCCCG